rnacentral:rRNA from 1 species
GUAUGUACGUUGAAUUCUGACCGUAAGGACAGGUGGAGCGCAUACAAGUGAGAAUGCCGGUAUAAGUAACGAAAAGAUCAGUGAGAAUCUGAUCCGCCGAAAACCUAAGGGUUCCUGAGGAAGGCUCGUCCGCUCAGGGUAAGUCGGGACCUAAGGCGAGGCCGAAAGGCGUAGUCGAUGGACAACAGGUGGAAAUUCCUGUACCACCGUAGCCGUUAUGAGCAAUGGAGUGACGCAGAAGGAUAGUGACGCAGACUGAUGGAUGUCUGUCCAAGCAGUGAGGCUGGUUAGUAGGCAAAUCCGCUAACCGUAAGGCUGGGCUGUGAUGGGGAGGGAAACUUUAAGUACCGAAGGUCAUGAUUUCACACUGCCAAGAAAAGCUUCUAGCCAGGCGAAGGUGCCCGUACCGCAAACCGACACAGGUGGGUGAGAAGAGAAUUCUAAGGCGCGCGGAAGAACUCUCGUUAAGGAACUCGGCAAAAUGACCCCGUAACUUCGGGAGAAGGGGUGCCUCGGUAGGGUGAAUAGCCCGAGGGGGCCGCAGUGAAAAGGCCCAAGCGACUGUUUAGCAAAAACACAGGUCUGUGCGAAGCCGCAAGGCGAAGUAUACGGGCUGACGCCUGCCCGGUGCUGGAAGGUUAAGAGGAGUGGUUAGGGGGCAACCCCGAAGCUAUGAAUUGAAGCCCCAGUAAACGGCGGCCGUAACUAUAACGGUCCUAAGGUAGCGAAAUUCCUUGUCAGGUAAAUUCUGACCCGCACGAAUGGCGUAACGACUUGGGCGCUGUCUCAACGAGAGAUCCGGUGAAAUUUUAAUACCUGUGAAGAUGCAGGUUACCCGCGACAAGACGGAAAGACCCCAUGGAGCUUUACUGCAGCUUGAUAUUGGACUUUGGUACGAUCUGUACAGGAUAGGUGGGAGCCUUUGAAGCCUGAGCGCCAGCUUGGGUGGAGGCGCCGUUGGGAUACCACCCUGAUCGUAUCGGAGUUCUAACCUGGUACCGUGAACCGGUAUGGGGACAGUGUCAGGUGGGCAGUUUGACUGGGGCGGUCGCCUCCUAAAAUGUAACGGAGGCGUUUAAAGGUUCCCUCAGAAUGGUUGGAAAUCAUUCGCAGAGUGCAAAGGCAUAAGGGAGCUUGACUGCGAGACCUACAAGUCGAGCAGGGACGAAAGUCGGACUUAGUGAUCCGGUGGUACCGAAUGGAAGGGCCAUCGCUCAACGGAUAAAAGCUACCCUGGGGAUAACAGGCUUAUCUCCCCCAAGAGUCCACAUCGACGGGGAGGUUUGGCACCUCGAUGUCGGCUCAUCGCAUCCUGGGGCUGAAGUAGGUCCCAAGGGUUGGGCUGUUCGCCCAUUAAAGCGGUACGCGAGCUGGGUUCAGAACGUCGUGAGACAGUUCGGUCCCUAUCUGUCGCGGGCGUAGGAAAUUUGAGAGGAGCUGUCCUUAGUACGAGAGGACCGGGAUGGACGUACCGCUGGUGUACCAGUUGUCUCGCCAGAGGCACCGCUGGGUAGCUAUGUACGGAGGGGAUAAGCGCUGAAAGCAUCUAAGCGCGAAGCCCCCCUCAAGAUGAGAUUUCCCAGUAUGUAAGACCCCUUGUAGACGACGAGGUUGAUAGGUUCGAGGUGGAAGUGCAGCAAUGCAUGCAGCUGACGAAUAC